rnacentral:rRNA from 1 species
ACAAGUACCGUGAGGGAAAGUUGCAAAGCACUUUGAAGAGAGAGUUAAAGAGGACGUGAAACCGGUAAGGUGGAAACGGAUAGAGUCGGCGUAUCAUUCAAUUAUUCAGUUACAUUAUUUUUAUGUUGUGACCUCUGAGCUCCAGAUUGGGACAGAGGGAAUCAGCAUAAUUUUUUGUGGUGCAUUUACUUGAUUGGUGCUUGGGGAUGUUUGAGGCAGAUUUGUUUCCGUCGUUUUGAGGCCAGCUUGCUGGUACCCAAACGGUGUUAGCAUUUUUUGUCUUGGGCAUUUGAGUAUGGCUCACGUGUAUUUAUUGGACAGAUCUGAGUGUAAGUUACGGUCGCAUGCGACACGUGCUUUUCAAUUAGUUCGGUCCAGUUAAUGCUCUCGUACUCGUUCCCCAUGUAAAAGCCGGUCAUCUAUCCGACCCGUCUUGAAACACGGACCAAGGAGUUUAUCGUGUGCGCAAGUUUUUGGGUGUUAAAAACUUAAAAGCGAAAUGAAAGUAAAUGACUCUUUAGAGUCUGAUGUGCGAUCUUGUAAAAAAGUGUAGCAUGGCCCCAUUCUAACUGUUUACAGUAGGGUGGCGGAAGAGCGUACGCGGUGAGACCCGAAAGAUGGUGAACUAUUCCUGAGCAGGACGAAGCCAGAGGAAACUCUGGUGGAAGUCCGAAGCGGUUCUGACGUGCAAAUCGAUCGUCUGACUUGGGUAUAGGGGCGAAAGACUAAUCGAACCAUCUAGUAGCUGGUUCCUCCGA